rnacentral:rRNA from 1 species
AUUGAACGCUGGCGGCAUGCCUUACACAUGCAAGUCGAACGGCAGCACGGGUGCUUGCACCUGGUGGCGAGUGGCGAACGGGUGAGUAAUACAUCGGAACAUGUCCUGUAGUGGGGGAUAGCCCGGCGAGAGCCGGAUUAAUACCGCAUACGAUCUACGGAUGAAAGCGGGGGACCUUCGGGCCUCGCGCUCUCGGGUUGGCCGAUGGCUGAUUAGCUAGUUGGUGGGGUAAAGGCCUACCAAGGCGACGAUCAGUAGCUGGUCUGAGAGGACGACCAGCCACACUGGGACUGAGACACGGCCCAGACUCCUACGGGAGGCAGCAGUGGGGAAUUUUGGACAAUGGGCGAAAGCCUGAUCCAGCAAUGCCGCGUGUGUGAAGAAGGCCUUCGGGUUGUAAAGCACUUUUGUCCGGAAAGAAAUCCUUGGCCCUAAUACGGUCGGGGGGAUGACGGUACCGGAAGAAUAAGCACCGGCUAACUACGUG